rnacentral:rRNA from 1 species
GGGAUAACACUUGGAAACAGGUGCUAAUACCGUAUAACAACAAAAUCCGCAUGGAUUUUGUUUGAAAGGUGGCUUCGGCUAUCACUUCUGGAUGAUCCCGCGGCGUAUUAGUUAGUUGGUGAGGUAAAGGCCCACCAAGACGAUGAUACGUAGCCGACCUGAGAGGGUAAUCGGCCACAUUGGGACUGAGACACGGCCCAAACUCCUGCGGGAGGCAGCAGUAGGGAAUCUUCCACAAUGGACGAAAGUCUGAUGGAGCAAUGCCGCGUGAGUGAAGAAGGGUUUCGGCUCGUAAAACUCUGUUGUUAAAGAAGAACACCUUUGAGAGUAACUGUUCAAGGGUUGACGGUAUUUAACCAGAAAGCCACGGCUAACUACGUGCCAGCAGCCGCGGUAAUACGUAGGUGGCAAGCGUUGUCCGGAUUUAUUGGGCGUAAAGCGAGCGCAGGCGGUUUUUUAAGUCUGAUGUGAAAGCCUUCGGCUUAACCGGAGAAGUGCAUCGGAAACUGGGAGACUUGAGUGCAG